UGAGGAAUAUUGGACAAUGGAUGGAAAUCUGAUCCAGCCAUGCCGCGUGCAGGAAGACGGCCCUAUGGGUUGUAAACUGCUUUUGUAUGGGAGCAAUAAGGACUACGUGUAGUUUGAUGAGAGUACCAUACGAAUAAGGAUCGGCUAACUCCGUGCCAGCAGCCGCGGUAAUACGGAGGAUCCGAGCGUUAUCCGGAUUUAUUGGGUUUAAAGGGUGCGUAGGCGGAAAGAUAAGUCAGCCUGUGAAAGUUUGCGGCUCAACCGUAAAAUUGCAGUUGAUACUGUUUUUCUUGAGUGUACAUAAGGUAGGCGGAAUUCGGGGUGUAGCGGUGAAAUGCUUAGAUAUCACUAAGAACUCCGAUUGCGAAGGCAGCUUACCGGGGUACAACUGACGCUGAUGGACGAAAGUGUGGGUAUCAAACA
rnacentral:rRNA from 1 species